UCCCUCUUAGCUCAGUUGGUAGAGUGCGUCACUAGUAUCAAACCGUUCUGUUCUUCUAUGACGAGGUCAGUCGUUCAAAUCGGCUAGCGGGAA